AGCAAACCAGCUUCGGAUGUAAAAUCUCGAUUAGAAAAAAUAGUGAAUCAAAACUGACUGAUAGAGAGCUAUCUGCGAAAUAAACUUGAUCAGUAAAGAUGGAGCAGCAUGAAAACAACCAGACCGCACAGGCACCAGAUGUCAAGACGAAAACCUGCCAGUCGACUAGUAUUAAACAGAAGGAUAUAAUACAGUAUCAGAAUGAACUGAACAAAGAUUAUAUCACUUGUCAUCAAUGUGGGGUGCAUUUCACCAAGCAAGCAAGCUUUAAGCAGCACAUGAGAAGUCACACUGGAGCGAAGCCUUUCAUCUGCCCUCAAUGUGGAAAGAGUUUCACAGUGAAACAAAGCCUUGAGGCUCACAUCAGAAUUCACACUGGAGAAAAGCCUUUCACCUGCUCUCAGUGUGGAAGGAGUUUCGCACAACAAGGACAACUUAAAUAUCACGUGACAAGCCACACUGGAGAGAAGCCUUUCACCUGCCCUCAAUGUGAAAAGAGUUUCACAGCCAAACAAAGCCUUAAAAUUCACAUGAGAAUUCACACUGGAGAGAAGCCUUUCACCUGUCUUCAGUGUGGGAUGAGCUUCUCACAACUAAAACACCUUAAACGUCACAUAAGAACACACUCUGGAGAGAAGCCUUUCACCUGCUCUCUAUGCGGAAAAAGUUACAGAGUGAAACGAAACCUUGAGAGUCACAUAAGAACUCACACUGGAGAGAAGCCUUUCACCUGCUCUGAGUGUGGAAAGCGUUUCACAGUAAAACAAAAGCUUGAUAGUCACGUAAGAGUUCAUACCGGAGAGAAGCCUUUCUCCUGCCCCCAGUGUGGAAAGAGAUUCACAGUGAAACAAAGCCUUGAUGGUCACAUGGCCAUUCACACUGGAGAGAAGCCUUUCACCUGCUCUCGAUGUGGAAAGAGUUAUGCUGUAAAACGAAACCUUGAGUAUCACAUGAGAAUUCACACUGGAGAGAAGCCUUUCGUCUGCCCUCAAUGUGGGAACAGUUUCGCAAUGAAAAAAAACCUUGUUAGACACAUGAACAUUCACACUGGAGCAAAGCCUUUCAGCUGCUCAGAGUGUGGAAAGAGUUUCACCGUGAAACAUGGCCUUUAUAAUCACAUGAGAAUUCACACUGGAGAGAAGCCUUUUACCUGCCCCCAAUGUGGAAAGAGUUUCACAGUGAAACAUGGCCUUUAUAAUCACAUGAGAAUUCACACUGGAGAGAAGCCUUUCGUCUGCCCUCAAUGUGGGAACAGUUUUGCAAUUAAAAACAACCUUGUGAGACACAUGAAAAUUCACACUCGAGUGAAGCCUUUCAGCUGCUCUGAGUGUGGAAAGAGUUUCACCGUGAAACAUGGCCUUGAUAAUCACAUGAGAGUUCACACUGGAGAGAAGCCUUUCACCUGCUCUGAGUGUGGAAAGAGUUACACAUUGAGUCAAAGCCUUGAGAGACACAUGAGAAUUCACACUGAUUCUGCCCUUAAUGUGCAAAGAGCUUCAUGCAAAUCGGACACCUUAACCGUCACAGAGAAUUCUCACUGGAAAGAAGCCUUUCGACAGGAUAGGGGAAUCUCUUCCUCCACCUCUUUGCAGCAUCCAUCAAAAUGAAGAGACUGCAGUCACAGUGUACCAGAAACCCAACCAGCUAUCAGAGGACAUUGAUGUAGUCAAUAUUUUAUAUGAAGUUCUAAAUGUCUAAAUGUAGGUUCGGGAGGAGCCUAAACAUUCAGUCCUGUCAAUCAUAAUUACAUGAGUACUAUAUAAGCUGCAAACACUGCGUCAUCCCAUUGACACGUUUUUUUCCAGCAACCCUCCUCCUCCUCCCCGUCUCCUCCUCUAAUUCUCUCUUUCCUCCUACGCGCAGUUCCAUAGUCGGGGGUUUUAACUCGGAGCUCGAGCCGAGCUUUGGGUUCGUGCCUCCUCCGCAGACAGCAAGCCAAGUUCGUUUUACUAGUAACCGUUGAGGCUAAAUGGGCAGGCGAACUCGUGAAAUGAUUAGGAGGCCAUAAGUGAUAAGAGACCAGUUGGGACAAUUUGGUCGGGUUGACACGUUUACACAAUAGUGUAUCUAUAAGUUACUAUUCAUUAUAAUGGGAGAUGAUGAACCUCAGCAAGAACACACUGUAAAUCAGACAUUUGAUACAAUGGGAGUAGACCUAAUUAAAAUGCAUUAACCAACAAUUAGUUAACCAUAGUGAUAAUCUCAGUAAAUCAUUUGAAGAUUGAGUCAGUUGAGUAGCAGCGACAUCCACUGCCAGUCGCUCUGGAUUUUUUCCCCCUUGUUUGUAUUAUUAUUUAUCUACAUAUUUUAUACAUUCCUUUUACCUAUAUAUAGAUUUCAUUUAAACAAUGUUGUAUACCAUUAUGUUGUACAAAAAAUAGCAUGUACAUUUCAGCAAUCUGUGCAAACUGUAACUGAUGGAAAGAAAAAUGAAUCAUCUCUACAUGCUUGAGAUAAGUAGUCUCUUCAAGACCACAGACACUGUUAAGCAGAAAAAUCCUGUUAUGUUUAAUAAGAACAUGUUUAUAUUUCUUUUUAGAUGCAAACAGAGCUUUGACUACACAAAUAUCUAAGGUUAUUCAGUAAACUGCUAAUUUCUUAUCACUUCAUUUCAUACCUCAUGCUCUUCACCUACAUCUGCCUCGUUUCUACAGAAGAGUUAACUUGACAAUAUGUUUGAAUAAUUUUGAAUUUCAGACAAAAAUCUUCCUAAUGGAGAGUAACUGGCAAGAGACAAUGACAACUUCUAAAAUGUCUGGCACCAGACUUGAGGAAGAAGAGAAAAUCCUGCAGGUCUUCUCACUGAGCUGCUGCAAAACAUAAAGACAGUAUGUCCGCACUGAAACCCACCUAAAACAUACCCUUAUGCCUGAAACACACUCAAAACCUACCCUUAUGCCCAAAAAUCCUUUCAAUCAGAAACCUACAUACAACAAAUCAGGUUUCCGAGGCGGCACAGGGAUGGGGAGUCAUGUAACGUCUGGACUAAUGCACGAUAAUCGAUUGAGCUUAAAGUUUUACGAAAAACUUUUACCCUUCUGAACUGGUUAGUUAAAUCACGGCCUGGGCUCCAGCCAGACUGACUUUUAUGGGUCCGUUGUCACUUUAGUUGCCUCGGCAGAUGCUAAGCAGAAACUUCUUCAGGUUCCUAGGUGACUUCAGAGAUCUCCUAGAUUGACCCCAUGCUAGGCACAAAGGGCCAUGUGGCCACAGACACAUUGUGGAAACACCCAAUAGACACACAUACGGACAUUCUCUGCAUUUAACUCAUAAUUAAACUAUCCCAGAAUGUUAUAUGAUGUAUUCCUGUGUGUAUGCAUGUCCCUAUGUUAUAAUUAGCCUAGAUAUGAUUUUUAGUUAUUUUAGGAUAAAUUUAAAUGUUCAUAAUCAUAUGUGAGAAUGUACCACUCUUUUAAUGUCUUCCCACCCUAUUGUAUUUGUUCUUGAAAUGAUCCUUUCUUUAUGCCUUAAUUGAUGAUGUGUAUCAUGUUACAAUAAAAUGCAUUAUAUUAUUUGUACUACACUUUGGGGUAAAAGCUGUACUAAUCUGACACUUUGCUUAGAUUUAGUUGUAUUUAUUCAUAGUUUAAUUUAUCAAAAUCCAUUAUAUUCACACUUAAUUUUGUCUCUGUUGCUGCUCAUAAAUCAGGUCACUUUAACAUUUUGAUUUUCACUACAUGCUUUUGUACUGUUAGUACUAGAAGAGGAGAAUUAUUCUUCUUGGCCAUAAGAAGAUCGUACUGUUAAGUUUGGUGGACAAAUUGAAAUUAAUUCUAAAACUAAAACUAAUUCUGCAAGCUGAUCUAAACCAUAUAUAUUCAUAAUUAAUUAUAAUCUGUUAUGAUUUUUUAAAUAUAUAUUUCACCUUUGAGCUAAAUCCGCUACAGUCACCAUAAAUACAGUAUACAUAUCUAUGGGUGACGUAUUGGGCACAGGCGUAGCUUCUGACGACACCCUUGGAUGUGGGCAGAGUUGGAUGUCCACCGCAGGCUGCAGCGAGCCCUACUUGACCUAUUUGGCAAAAGGGAAGACAACAGCCUUUUUUCUUUGUUUUCUCUAGUCUGGUAGUACCGAUUUCAAAUGUUUCGCCUUUCUAUGGCCAUAGACAGCCACGUUUUAUUGAAAGCCCAUUUUGCCAGCAGUGAAUUGACAGAAAGAGUAGUUUACAUCUAUGACUUAUUAUUUACAUCUCUUUUACUCUUUCUGUCAAUUCCAUUUCCUAAAUGGAAAUUACUAUCCCCUUGUGUUGGUGCUGUACCCAUACAUAGAAAUGUUGGUUAUAAAAAUUGUUUAUUCAAUCUUAUUAUGUAUGUGCACUCAAAAGAGUCAUCAAAGAACAUUCCAUAGAAUAUUUGGCCUGGUUGGAUUUUGAUACCAUCAUGAUGUUUUUGAAUGCUUUAUUCCAGUGCACAGAUUAUGUUAUUUUAACACCUAAAUAAACAGUUUCACAAAA